AAUUAAAAGGCUUGCCUUAUUUCCUUUGAUGUCCCAGAGGCAUGUGAGGCUGGGGGUGUUUAGGGGAACUAACUAUAUGGGUAGCCUAGAUCCAGCUGCCUGGCCCAACUGAGAGGGCAGGGUGAGUGGUAAAUUAAGGGAUAGGCCAGGCUCUGACUUCACAACCGACAGUGGGAUCCUUCAUAUUUGUUUCCCAGGAGGCCUGGUGAGGAGUCUGCUUUGAGCCUUGGACCAGCUGAAAGUACAGACACUGGUCUUCCUUGGCUCACUUGAAAGUGCAGACAUCUGUCUUUGGAUCCGCUGAAAGUGUAGAUAUCUGUGUUCCUCAGUACAGUUGAAAGUGCAGGCAAUUUGUCGUUUCCCGUUGCACAAUGGGGGGCUGUUUGUCCUCUUUUCACAGAAGGAACAUCGAGACCUCAAACUUGUGGUCCACCUCAGACCCCUCCCUCCCCUCCUUGCUGGGAGACGACCUCUUCUAUGUGUCAGACCUGAGCUCACA